rnacentral:rRNA from 1 species
CAAUAGCGUAUAUUUAAGUUGUUGCAGUUAAAAAGCUCGUAGUUGGAUUUCGGGUGGGACGCAGCGGUCUCGCAUUGCGUUUGUACUGCUGCAGCCCUCCUUCUUGCCGGGGGCGGCCUCUCGGACUUCACUGUCUGGGGGUCAGAAUCGGCGAUGUUACUUUGAGUAAAUUAGAGUGUUCAAAGCAAGCUUACGCUUUGAAUAUAAUAGCAUGGGAUAACACGACAGGACUCUGGCCUAUCGUGUUGGUCUAUAGGACCAGAGUAAUGAUUAAGAGGGACAGUCGGGGGCAUUCGUAUUCCGUUGUCAGAGGUGAAAUUCUUGGAUUUACGGAAGACGAACAUCUGCGAAAGCAUUUGCCAAGGAUGUUUUCAUUGA